GACGAACGCUGGCGGCGUGCCUAAUACAUGCAAGUCGAGCGCAGGAAACUGACGGAACUCUUCGGAGGGAAGGCAGUGGAAUGAGCGGCGGACGGGUGAGUAACACGUAAGGAACCUGCCUCAAGGAUUGGGAUAACUCCGAGAAAUCGGAGCUAAUACCGGAUAGUUCAUCGGACCGCAUGGUCCGUUGAUGAAAGGCGCUCCGGCGUCACCUUGAGAUGGCCUUGCGGUGGAUUAGCUAGUUGGUGGGGGAACGGCCCACCAAGGCGACGAUGCAUGGCCGACCUGAGAGGGUGAUCGGCCACACUGGGACUGAGACACGGCCCAGACUCCUACGGGAGGCAGCAGUAGGGAAUCUUCCACAAUGGACGCAAGUCUGAUGGAGCAACGCCGCGUGAGUGAUGAAGGUUUUCGGAUCGUAAAACUCUGUUGUAAGGGAAGAACACGUACGAGAGGGAAUGCUCGUACCUUGACGGUACCUUACGAGAAAGCCACGGCUAACUACGUGCCAGCCGCCGCUGUAA
rnacentral:rRNA from 1 species